GCCAGGCAUAGCUGCACAUGCCUGUAAUCCUGCUACUCAGAAGGCUGAGACAGGAGGAUUGCAAGUUCCAGGCCAUCCAGGGUAACUUAGUGAGACCCUGUCUCAA
rnacentral:sRNA from 1 species